rnacentral:rRNA from 2 species
UCUGCAAUAGGCGAAAGCUUGACAGGGUUACUCUGAGUGAUUUCCGUUAAGGAGAUCUUUUGGCACCUCUAAAAAUGGUGCAGAAUAAGGGGUGGGCAAGUCUGGUGUCAGCCGCCGCGGUAAUACCAGCACCCCGAGUGGUCGGGACGUUUAUUGGGCCUAAAGCAUCCGUAGCCGGUUCUACAAGUCUUCCGUUAAAUCCACCUGCUUAACAGAUGGGCUGCGGAAGAUACUAUAGAGCUAGGAGGCGGGAGAGGCAAGCGGUACUCGAUGGGUAGGGGUAAAAUCCGUUGAUCCAUUGAAGACCACCAGUGGCGAAGGCGGCUUGCCAGAACGCGCUCGACGGUGAGGGAUGAAAGCUGGGGGAGCAAACCGGAUUAGAUACCCGGGUAGUCCCAGCUGUAAACGAUGCAGACUCGGUGAUGAGUUGGCUUAUUGCUAACUCAGUGCCGCAGGGAAGCCGUUAAGUUUGCCGCCUGGGGAGUACGGUCGCAAGACUGAAACUUAAA